rnacentral:rRNA from 1 species
ACUCAAAGGAAUAGACGGGGGCCCGCACAAGCAGUGGAGCAUGUGGUUUAAUUCGAUGCAACGCGAAGAACCUUACCCAGGUUUGAAGUACAGGAGACGGUAUCAGAGAUGAUAAAUCCCGAAAGGGCUGCUGUAUAGGUGCUGCAUGGCUGUCGUCAGCUCGUGCCGUGAGGUGUUGGGUUAAGUCCCGCAACGAGCGCAACCCUUAUCAUUAGUUGCCAACACGCGAGGUGGGGACUCUAGUGAGACUGCCUAGGUUAACUAGGAGGAAGGUGAGGAUGACGUCAAGUCCGCAUGGCCUUUAUGUCUGGGGCUACACACGUGCUACAAUGGUCGGUACAAAGGGCAGCGAAAUCGCAAGAUGAAGCAAAUCCCAGAAAGCCGAUCUCAGUUCAGAUUGUAGUCUGCAACUCGACUACAUGAAGUUGGAAUUGCUAGUAAUGGCAGGUCAGCAACACUGCCGUGAAUACGUUCCCGGGCCUUGUACACACCGCCCGU